ACGGGAGGCAGCAGUGAGGAAUAUUGGACAAUGGGGGCAACCCUGAUCCAGCCAAACCGCGUGAGGGAUGAAGGUCCUACGGAUCGUAAACCUCUUUUAUGUGGGAAUAAUUAGUGGGACGUGUCCCACUUUGAAGGUACCACUUGAAUAAGCAUCGGCUAACUCCGUGCCAGCAGCCGCGGUAAUACGGAGGAUGCAGGCGUUAUCCGGAUUUAUUGGGUUUAAAGGGUGCGUAGGCGGCCUCUUAAGUCGGCGGUGAAAUUUCCGGGCUCAACCCGGUCACUGCCGUCGAAACUGGGGGGCUUGAGUGCGUUUGGGGUGGCUGGAAUGUGCGGUGUAGCGGUGAAAUGCAUAGAUAUCGCACAGAACGCCGAUCGCGGAGGCAGGUCACCAAGCCGCAACUGACGCUGAGGCACGAAAGCGCGGGGAGCAAACAGGAUUAGAUACCCUGGUA
rnacentral:rRNA from 1 species